rnacentral:snoRNA from 1 species
CUGCUGUCUUGCUGCUGCUGCUGCUGCUGCUGCUGCUGCAGCAGCAGCAGCUGCAGCAGUUGGUGGAUGGUUAGGGCCGGCGGCCCUCCCUCCUCACUAGCAGCAUUU